rnacentral:RNase_P_RNA from 1 species
GCAGUGGGACGGCUUGUCGCUGGGCACCCCGCGUGCUCAGAGGAAAGUCCGGGCAGCACAGGGCACUCCGCUGGCUAACGACCAGUAGUUCGCGAGAGCUAACCGGCGCAGAAGAAAACAACCGCCGCGUCAGACCUCAAAAGGGCGGCGCGGUAAGGGUGAGAAGGUGGGGCAAGAGCCCACCAGCGCGGCGGCGACGUCGCGGCUGUGCGCAUCGGAGGCUGAAAGUUCAUGUAAACCAGCGUCAAUCAGGGCGGCCCGCCCGAAAGCCCGCUUACGCUGGAGGGUAGAACGAUAGAGCGCGACGGCAACGCAGCGCGUAGAUAAAUGGCAAGCACCGCUUCGCGGCGGCACAGAACCCGGCUUACAGGCCCACUGCUCCU